UAACAUCUGUAAAAUCUACUAACUCAAAUCAUCCACUAAAAAUUCAUCUUCAAAAUCUUUUGACCGUUGAGCUCCUGAAGAUCCUUUCCUUCCCGGCGACUUCGCCAUCCCGGCACCCAAUGUCGGCAACCACCUUUUCUUCCUUUGCGAAUUCCACCGCGUGCUCGUCAAAAAUCCGUCACACGUGCCCGACCGUUUUCCGCAUUUUUCACCAUCUCUCCCUCUCUUUUCUCUUUUUUAUUCCCCUUCUCCUUUUUUCCCUUUUCUUUUUCUUCCAUCUCUUUCUCCCUUUCUUUCUUUCUGCCUCCUUCCUCCUUCCUUCUUUCUUCUCCUUCCUUCCUCCCUGGUCACGCACACAAGCCCCCUGGCCGGCCCUUCCCUCCACCUGCAC
rnacentral:lncRNA from 1 species